rnacentral:misc_RNA from 1 species
CCCGUCUCGAAGCAUGGUAGCCUCAACAGACGCUUGCCGCCACACGCGAGGAGAAAGCAGGAGGCCCGAAGUUUGAAUGUGAAGAGGAGGUGCGAAGAGCUGGCCCUCACUUUUUCAAGGCAGCCGCAGAACACUACGAGCCCCGAAUCACUGCCGCGGCUGACUCACGCGGAUGCUGUGCUGCACCCUGCACUGCACAUGGUUCGAAGCACACUUCAGGGGACCAGUGCAUGCCCCUGAUGCAUCGUCACGGUAUGUUUUGUACUGCUUUUCCUAGCGGUGCACUGAGCAGUCCAAUCUUGAAGGGAGCACGCGAGUGCGUAGCCAGUGCUCCAUGCAGCGAGGACCGCAAGCACCCGCGGAAGCUUGGAGCACACGCAGUGACGCCAGCAGCCGUGCACGCUGGCGUCGUCUGCUACUGUACCGUCCUUUCGUUCGGUGCGCAGAAAAAAAAAGGAGUGACCGCUCUGUUAAAAGUCUGAUGGUGAAGGCAUCCUUUACAGAAGCACUGUAUGGCUCUCUGCACGCUAGAAUGGGGGCUGUCGUUGACGCUCGCAGAGGCGUCGCCCACAACUAAGCAGACGACCAAAGUCCUGAGCAGGUGACUAAUCGUUUCAUUGUUCUUUGGUAAGGAAAGG